rnacentral:snoRNA from 1 species
AAACCAUGGUGUGGGCAGUAUCUGAGCAAGUCCUUGUACCUCUCCCAUGCAUCAUAAAUUCUCUCAUCAUAAAAAAUGCACAAAAGAAGAAAUAUCGUUAUGCAUUU